rnacentral:rRNA from 1 species
AUGGAUGUAGUAGCAAAAUUCUGGUGGGGGGACGGAGAAAAUGAAAGGAAGAUGCAUUGGUUUGCUUGGUGGAAAUUGUGCUUUCCCAAAUCUCAAGGUGGGCUAGGGUUUCGUGAUUUUCACUCUUUCAGUUUGGCCAUGCUCUCAAAGCAAGUCUGGAGACUGAUAGAGAAACCAAAUUCUUUUUGUGCAAGGAUCUUGAAAGCCAAAUACUAUCCGAACCAACACAUUUUAGAUGUUGGCCCAAAGAAGGGGUCUUCUUUCACAUGGCAAAGCAUUGUUGCUGGGAUCCAAACUUUCAAAAGAGGUAACAUAUGGAGGGUAGGCAAUGGUGAAACAGUAAAUAUUUAG